rnacentral:tRNA from 1 species
CGCGGGGUGGACUAGAGGUUGGUCGCGGGGCUCAUAACCCCGAUACGUCGGUUCGAUUCCGACCCCCGCAA